GGACUGGGAUAACCCUGGGAAACUGGGGAUAAUACCGGAUAGGCAAUUUUUCCUGGAAUGGUUUUUUGUUUAAAUGUUUUUUCGCCUAAGGAUGGGUCUGCGGCCGAUUAGGUAGUUGGUUAGGUAACGGCUUACCAAGCCAUUGAUCGGUACGGGUUGUGAGAGCAAGAGCCCGGAGAUGGAACCUGAGACAAGGUUCCAGGCCCUACGGGGUGCAGCAGGCGCGAAACCUCCGCAAUGUGAGAAAUCGCGACGGGGGGAUCCCAAGUGCCAUUCUUAACGGGAUGGCUUUUCAUUAGUGUAAAGAGCUUUUGGAAUAAGGGCUGGGCAAGACCGGUGCCAGCCGCCGCGGUAACACCGGCAGCUCUAGUGGUAGCAGUUUUUAUUGGGCCUAAAGCGUCCGUAGCCGGUUUAAUAAGUCUCUGGUGAAAUCCUGUAGCUUAACUGUGGGAAUUGCUGGAGAUACUAUUAGACUUGAGACCGGGAGAGGUUAGAGGUACUCCCAGGGUAGAGGUGAAAUUCUGUAAUCCUGGGAGGACCGCCUGUUGCGAAGGCGUCUAACUGGAACGGUUCUGACGGUGAGGGACGAAAGUUAGGGGCGCGAACCGGAUUAGAUACCCGGGUAGUCCUAACUGUAAACGAUGCGGACUUGGUGUUGGGGUGGCUUUGAGCUGCUCCAGUGCCGAAGGGAAGCUGUUAAGUCCGCCGCCUGGGAAGUACGGUCGCAA
rnacentral:rRNA from 1 species